UCCCAGACUCCUACGGGAGGCAGCAGUGGGGAAUAUUGCACAAUGGGGGGAACCCUGAUGCAGCGACGCCGCGUGGGUGAAGGAGCACCUCGGUGCGUAAAGCCCUAUCGGCAGGGAAGAAAAGCGAACAGGUUCGCCUGGACGGUACCUGACUAAGAAGCCCCGGCUAACUACGUGCCAGCAGCCGCGGUAAUACGUAGGGGGCAAGCGUUAUCCGGAUUCACUGGGUGUAAAGGGAGCGUAGACGGCGACGCAAGUCUGGUGUGAAAGCCCGGGGCCCAACCCCGGGCCUGCAUUGGAAACUGCCGGGCUGGAGUGCCGGAGGGGCAGGCGGAAUUCCUGGUGUAGCGGUGAAAUGCGCAGAUAUCAGGAAGAACACCGGUGGCGCAGGCGGCUUGCUGGACGGCAACUGACGCUGAGGCUCGAAAGCGUGGGGAGCAAACAGGAUUAGAUGCCCGAGUACA
rnacentral:rRNA from 1 species